AUGAACGCUGGCGGCGUGCCUUAGGCAUGCAAGUCGAACGAAUCCCUCACCAUGUUUCUAAAUAUGUAUUUUUACAAAAUUUGUUGGUGACAUGGUGAGGGAUGAGUGGCGGAAGGGUGAGUAACGCGUGGGAACGUACCCUAUGGUGGGGAAUAACUCAGAGAAAUCUGUGCUAAUACCGCAUAACACCGCAAGGUAAAAGGGCUUAACCGCCCGCCAUUGGAGCGGCCCGCGUCUUAUCAGCUUGUUGGUGGGGUAAUGGCCUACCAAGGCGAUGACGAGUAGCUGGGCUGAGAGGUCGGCCAGCCACAAUGGAACUGAGACACGGUCCAUACACCUACGGGUGGCAGCAACCGGGAAUCUUGGACAAUGGGCGAAAGCCUGAUCCAGCGACGCCGCGUGGAGGAAGAAUGCCUUCGGGUUGUAAACUCCUUUUGUUCGCCAUAAUGGCGUAAAGAAUAAGCACCUGCCAACUACGU
rnacentral:rRNA from 1 species